rnacentral:rRNA from 1 species
GCUGCUCAGGACGAACGCUGGCGGCGUGCCUAAUACAUGCAAGUCGAGCGGACAGAUGGGAGCUUGCUCCUGAUGUUAGCGGCGGACGGGUGAGUAACACGUGGGUAACCUGCCUGUAAGACUGGGAUAACUCCGGGAAACCGGGGCUAAUACCGGAUGGUUGUUUGAACCGCAUGGUUCAAACAUAAAAGGUGGCUUCGGCUACCACUUACAGAUGGACCCGCGGCGCAUUAGCUAGUUGGUGAGGUAAYGGCUCACCAAGGCGACGAUGCGUAGCCGACCUGAGAGGGUGAUCGGCCACACUGGGACUGAGACACGGCCCAGACUCCUACGGGAGGCAGCAGUAGGGAAUCUUCCGCAAUGGACGAAAGUCUGACGGAGCAACGCCGCGUGAGUGAUGAAGGUUUUCGGAUCGUAAAGCUCUGUUGUUAGGGAAGAACAAGUACCGUUCGAAUAGGGCGGUACCUUGACGGUACCUAACCAGAAAGCCACGGCUAACUACGUGCCAGCAGCCGCGGUAAUACGUAGGUGGCAAGCGUUGUCCGGAAUUAUUGGGCGUAAAGGGCUCGCAGGCGGUUUCUUAAGUCUGAUGUGAAAGCCCCCGGCUCAACCGGGGAGGGUCAUUGGAAACUGGGGAACUUGAGUGCAGAAGAGGAGAGUGGAAUUCCACGUGUAGCGGUGAAAUGCGUAGAGAUGUGGAGGAACACCAGUGGCGAAGGCGACUCUCUGGUCUGUAACUGACGCUGAGGAGCGAAAGCGUGGGGAGCGAACAGGAUUAGAUACCCUGGUAGUCCACGCCGUAAACGAUGAGUGCUAAGUGUUAGGGGGUUUCCGCCCCUUAGUGCUGCAGCUAACGCAUUAAGCACUCCGCCUGGGGAGUACGGUCGCAAGACUGAAACUCAAAGGAAUUGACGGGGGCCCGCACAAGCGGUGGAGCAUGUGGUUUAAUUCGMKCMAACGCGAAGAACCUUACCAGGUCUUGACAUCCUCUGACAAUCCUAGAGAUAGGACGUCCCCUUCGGGGGCAGAGUGACAGGUGGUGCAUGGU